rnacentral:lncRNA from 1 species
UUUACACCAUGCAUAACAUUUGCAUUUGCAUGCAUAUCAUAUCAAGCAUACACAUAAGCUGAUAAACAGGUUCUUCCAAGCAGACUAAAGAAUUACUUUACAACCAAGGUCAUGAGAUCCAGCCAGAGGAUCAAGCGUGAGUGAUCCAGCCUGAGGGUCAUUUUGAAGAUUCAGCCUGAGAAUCGUUUUCCAGUGAUCCAGCCUGAGGGUCAUUU